AGAGCAUUAUAUUUCGUCUUCAGUGAUUUCCUCCAUAGUUGCAUAUUCCCAUCCCUCACGAAUUGAUUGCAGUCUGAAGAAUGACCUGUUUGGGGCAGUGAGGUAGAUUGUAAACUCUUGAUUUCCCUCCAGCUCUAGCCAUACUAAUAGCAAUGACCAAGGAUGACAUUAUUUGCUCCUUAUGGUUUUAAGACAUGUCAGAUCUUUCAUCAACAGUCAGUACUGCCUCAGUUGUAGCCCAGUUCUAAAGGUUAUUUUAGUGAGCGUUCCUGAUGAGUUUUGAAGAGCUGAUUGAACAGAUAAAUAUUCAGUGCGUCAUAAUUAAUAAGUGAGUCAAUAUAUAUUCAACAUGUGUUACAUUGGAAUAUUUUUUACUUUUUAAAAGAAUAACUUGAAGUUUCUCCCAGGUUGUUUUUUGGUUUUUGUUUUUUUUAGGAAUCACCUUUUACCUAUUCAAUGAUAAAGCAUUCUGGUAAUUUUCUAAGUGUUAUUUUGAUUUUAAUGAUCAUCAAUAUUGGUUUCUGCUUAAAACUGCUUCUGGAAACCAUGGAAUUUUAUACUAUUCAAGACUGAAGUGUGCGUGAAAAAUUAUGACUUAUUUUUGUAUGAUUUAUGUCAUCUCAUUACUUUGUAGUUAUGCUUUCCAUCUCAGUUGGACUCUUUAAAUAAAACUCAAUUUCACACGGAGGGACUUCCUUAAAGGGGUCUUACUCUGAAAGUUCUGAUGAGUAAAAGGAGGGGUUUGAGGCAGGAAUAGUCAGCUCUGAUCACAAUUCAGUCGGUCAUUGGGCUAAUGAGCUAUGAAAUGACUCCCAUAGGAGACGUGGAACAUGAAAUAUGAAACAGUCUCUGUUUGGAAAAGAUGUGCUUGGGGAAGGUGUCAUUCCUUUGGUCUUCCUACCCAAGCACAUCAACAUAUUCACCCCAGAACUUACUUAAUUUUUCACCACUGGGAAGCAUCUCCUAUGGCAUCAGCCCUUCCUCAUUUUCAGUAGAGAUGGGCUGGGCAUGAGGUCACUUAAUAUUGAAACAAGAAAGCGGAAUAUAUCAAAGAUCUCAAACUGAUGAUACACAAAGCAGCACCUUGCAGUCUCCAGUGUUUGAACACAUCUGGUGACACGUUAGAUAGGAUUUGGUGGGUAGAACCAGAAUUGAUAAGACCGUUAAAACCACAUGUGACUUAUACCCCUGGCUAUGAAAAAAGCCAGUGGGAAAUGGAAAGAACAUGAACAUUUAAGCUGCUCUCAAGACAGACAUCCCGGUGGAAGAGUUCCUACCCGAGGUCUGGUGUGACUCAGUUACGGAAUGCAGUGAGCAUGGCCAGUGGGAUUGUGAAUCCAGCCCAACAGCUCCGAGAAUCACUUUGUCAGUGUGUGGCACAUGGAGAAAACGAAGACAAGGACUCUGUGAGACUAGCCUACGUCCCUUUAAUUGCCAGCAUUUGUAAGUGAUUGUGCAAUCUUGUGUAAUGGUCUUUUAUUUUGACUCUCUUGAAAAAAGAAAUGUUGUGUUGUUGUUGGUUUGUUUGUUUUUUUUUUCCAGUAAAAGUAAAUGCCAAAAAAAAAAAAAAAAAAAAAAAAAAAAAA
rnacentral:lncRNA from 1 species